ACAUCCUCAACCUGCUUGGUUUUUUCUCAAACCCAAGUAGGCUUGGAAUUUGGAGGUUUUCUGCCGGCCUCCUCCGAAGCCAGCUCCUCUUAAAUAUAUUAGUGGGAUCCGCUUUGCCAGAUCCUCGACGUUGAUAAGAUGUUUCUACGUCUUGGGUUUUGCUCGCGAAGGACCUGCUUCUAACCGUCCCACCAGGGACAAUGUUCGAGCCGAUCGCCCCUUCACCGGGUCGAGAAG
rnacentral:misc_RNA from 1 species